GAUGAAGAACGCAGUGAAAUGCGAUAAGUAGUGUGAAUUGCAGAAUUCAGUGAAUCAUCGAAUCUUUGAACGCACAUUGCGCCCCUUGGUAUUCCAUGGGGCAUGCCUGUUCGAGCGUCAUUUGUACCUUCAAGCUUUGCUUGGUGUUGGGUGUUUGUCCCUCGGGACUCGCCUUAAAGUCAUUGGCAGCCAGUGUUUUGGUUUUGAAGCGCAGCACAAGUCGCGAUUCAAGGCUAUCCGCCCGCUUCCACAAGCCUUUUUCACUUUUGACCUCGGAUCAGGUAGGGAUACCCGCUGAACUUAAGCAUAUCAAUAAGCGAGGA
rnacentral:misc_RNA from 1 species